rnacentral:rRNA from 1 species
UACGUAGGGUGCGAGCGUUGUCCGGAAUUACUGGGCGUAAAGGGCUCGUAGGCGGCCAACUAAGUCGGACGUGAAAUCCCCAGGCUCAACCUGGGAACUGCGUCCGAUACUGGAUGGCUUGAAUUCGGGAGAGGGAUGCAGAAUUCCAGGUGUAGCGGUGAAAUGCGUAGAUAUCUGGAGGAAUACCGGUGGCGAAGGCGGCAUCCUGGACCGGCAUUGACGCUGAGGAGCGAAAGCCAGGGGAGCGAACAGG